GAUCAUGGCUCAGGAUGAACGCUAGCGGCAGGCUUAACACAUGCAAGUCGAGGGGCAGCACGAGGUAGCAAUACUUUGGUGGCGACCGGCGCAUGGGUGCGUAACGCGUAUGCAACCUACCUUUAACAGGGGGCAUAACACUGAGAAAUUGGUACUAAUUCCCCAUAACAUUCGAGAAGGCAUCUUCUUGGGUUAAAAACUCCGGUGGUUAAAGAUGGGCAUGCGUUGUAUUAGCUGGUUGGUGAGG
rnacentral:rRNA from 1 species